rnacentral:rRNA from 1 species
UUUUGUGGGGUGCUCGAGUGGCGAACGGGUGAGUAACACGUGAGUAACCUGCCCUUGACUUUGGGAUAACCUCAGGAAACUGGGGCUAAUACCGGAUAGGAGCUCCUGCUGCAUGGUGGGGGUUGGAAAGUUUCGGCGGUUGGGGAUGGACUCGCGGCUUAUCAGCUUGUUGGUGGGGUAGUGGCUUACCAAGGCUUUGACGGGUAGCCGGCCUGAGAGGGUGACCGGCCACAUUGGGACUGAGGUACGGCCCAG